GCAUUCGAUGAUCUACUUCCAUUGGGACACCUUAUCACUUUCUUGGAUAUUGUCGGCGUUCAACACUGUUUGCUUGUCAUAUGCACGCAUCCAGUGCGAUCUCCUCGGUGGCUAAACUUUCCACGUGUUAAAGUGUCUGUUGCAUCAUUCUUUCCACCUGUUAAUUUCAACAUGGGGAAUUAUGCAAAGUAUUGACAAUUUAAACUUUUCGUUCAUUGCACAUGUUACUCUAUCAAAACCGCCGAAAUAUCUACAUUCUACAUAUGUUCAUUUUAACGGAAGAGUUAAAAUAUCAUUUCGAUCGAGCAACUGUCAAAAUCAAUCAGCUGUUGGCGUUGGCAUUAGUUUCCUCACAAUAUCCGUCACUCGUCGGCAUUCCCAGAGCGCGAAACAAAGCCAAUCUGGUUCGAAGAAGAAAAGAAUUAUAAUAACGAUGACGACGACGCGCUAGCCGGUCUCUGCAGAUAGUAGCAUAUUUUAAAGUUCAAAUUCAAAACUUCAAAUCCGCAAAUCCGGGGUGAAGUUGAUCAAUUAUCGACAAAGUGUUCCAAACUGACUGACUAAUAAUAAUUGUGACAGUGUGACCCAUAAUUGUUCAAUGACUGUAAUUGGUAUGCUAAACUUUAUGAUGGUGAUUCCGAAUUAGAUUGAAAGUAUCUAACAACUGAUGAAUUCAUUUGAAUAUGAAGAAAUACAGUUAAGAAGUUAAAUUGGCUUUUUAAGCAAUGUUGAGAUAAUUCCAUAUUCUGAAGCUGCACGCCAAACUGAGCCGAAAUCCAAAUUUUCAUGAAUUUUGGAGCCCGGGAACCUAUUUAAAAAUCAAUUUGAAGUUUGUAUGGGAGCGAUUUGUCGAAUCACCCCUCGUCGGAUUUUGUACUGGGCGGAGCUGUCAAGCAGUUGCCGAGCUGUCAAAAGGUGUUUUGAAUAAAUCUUUUUGAAAUUGAUUUUAGGUAUCAAAACAAAGUUUUAAAAAUCUGAAAAAAAUCAUAGAGGCUUAGUAAAAGGUGCUUUUUCGUUUAAAAAUAUAAAAUCAUUGAAUUUUUCUAAAUUUAAAAACUCAAUUGUCCCGAGAUUCUGGAUACUACUUUAGGUAUUUCUUUAAUAGGUACUCCCAGAGUUCUUGCUGGGUAUUUUCACGAGUUUUCCUCAGAAUGCCUCAUGGGAUAACUUACGAAAUUCCUUAGAAGAGAUUCCCGGAGAAAUAUUCGAAGGAAUCCAAGUACACCUCGUCCUUUUUUUACGUCCAUGCAUGGCUAAGCGACAAAUAAUUCUACCGCCAAGACAAUGAGCAAAUUCAACAUUUUUAUAUUUUUUAAAUAUCUCCGUGAUUAGGAGAAGUGUACAAAAAUAUAAAAAUGUAUAUUUUAAUUAUUAUUUUGGCAGUAGAAUUUUAUUUCGCUAAGCCAAUAGUGGACGUAAAACGAGGUUUAGGUGUAUAAUCUUGAGAGAAACUCCAUAAAGUCUUAUUGAAGAAAACUCGACAGGAAGAACUUUGUAAGAGUAAUCCCGAGAGGAUAUGUUAAGGAUAUCCAAGGUGGAACUCUGAAAACUUCACGGAAUCCUGGGAGCAGCUACGGGUGAAAUUCCGUGAGGAAAUCCAAGAGAAAUAUCGGAAAACUAUCGGCAAAAAUCCCGAGAUAAACUGUCGUAAAGAAAUCCCGUAAAUCAUAACCCUAGUAAGAUGUUGGAGUCAAUAAUGUCCCAAGCAGGCACGCUGGGCAUGCUUACAGCCAGCGUGGUACGCCAAUCCCAAGAGCCUAGGAGGGUCAAAUGACAUUCGUUAAGAAACUUGGAAUAAUUUUGGAUGGAUCUUCAGGAGCAAUUCAGCGAGAAACUUUGGAAGCAUAUCGGAAAGCCUCUGGAAGAAGUAUCGGUAGGUAGGCACUCUCGUGAAAUCCAAGAUGAAACUCUUU